UAACCUGGCGGCGUGCUUACACAUGCAAGUCCAACGAAGCAUUUAGGACUGAUUUCUUCGGAUUGAUGACCUUUAUGACUUAGUGGCGGACGGGUGAGUAACGCGUGGGCAACCUGCCUCACACAGGGGGACAACAGUUGGAAACGACCGCUAAUACCGCAUAAGCGCACACUGGUGCAUGCCAGAGUGUGAAAAACUGAGGUGGUGUGAGAUGGGCCCGCGUUGGAUUAGGUAGUUGGUGAGGUAACGGCCCACCAAGCCGACGAUCCAUAGCCGACCUGAGAGGGUGACCGGCCACAUUGGGACUGAGACACGGCCCAAACUCCUACGGGAGGCAGCAGUGGGGAAUAUUGCACAAUGGGGGAAACCCUGAUGCAGCGACGCCGCGUGAGUGAAGAAGUAUUUCGGUAUGUAAAGCUCUAUCAGCAGGGAAGAAAAUGACGGUACCUGCAUAAGAAGCCCCGGCUAACUACAUGCCAGCAGCCGCGGUAAU
rnacentral:rRNA from 1 species